UCCAGACUCCUACGGGAGGCAGCAGUGGGGAAUAUUGCACAAUGGGGGAAACCCUGAUGCAGCGACGCCGCGUGAAGGAAGAAGUAUUUCGGUAUGUAAACUUCUAUCAGCAGGGAAGAAAAUGACGGUACCUGACUAAGAAGCCCCGGCUAACUACGUGCCAGCAGCCGCGGUAAUACGUAGGGGGCAAGCGUUAUCCGGAUUUACUGGGUGUAAAGGGAGCGUAGACGGCAUGGCAAGUCAGAUGUGAAAGCCCGGGGCUCAACCCCGGGACUGCAUUGGGAACUGGCGUGCUGGAGUGCCGGAGGGGCAGGCGGAAUUCCUGGUGUAGCGGUGAAAUGCGUAGAUAUCAGGAGGAACACCGAUGGCGAAGGCGGCCUGCUGGACGGAUACUGACGCUGAGGCCCGAAAGCGUGGGGAGCGAACAGGAUUAGAUACCCGUGUACC
rnacentral:rRNA from 1 species